GUAAACAUCGAAGGUCUCUCUUUCGUUCUUCAUCAUUUGGAGGCAGUACACUCGUCGUGUAACAACGAGCGCUCUCAAAGAAUCUCAAUUUCGUAUAUUUUUAAUACUUUCUCGAUAUAAUAAUGAUACUAAUAAUUUUCUUUGUAUUUUUUAUACUCAGAACUACAUUGCAAUCUAUACGUAGCAACGAAGUAAUCGUGUGUUUGUAUAAUAAAAAUUCAAAAAUCGCGAAAUAGAAGUACAAUGUUUGUUUGUUCGGUCGCAUUUCGCGAUUUAUCUUGCAUCGAAUACGUGUAAUGCAGUCUAGUUAGUUUCUUGUGUCAGUUUUGCGAAUAAACUUAAGUGACUAUCUGUUAAAAAAUAACUAUCGCUUAUUAGAGUCAGUGUAUCACCGAAUAGGAUUUCAAUCAACGUCGAUGUCGACUUACUUCAUUUUUAAUCACCUACGAAUCAUUCAUUCCUCAAUUUCAACCUAAAUCGUGGACGAGUGUUUUGGAGCCAUCGCAAAACUACUUAAGUAUUAAGUGAAUUUUUAAAUCCCUCGGAACACUCAAUCGUAACGAGGACGAAAGGUUAAUGAAAUAAAGAAUCGUGGACAGCAGAGGUGGUUCAUUGGCAUCGAAAAAUAUGAUUCGAGUUAACAACAGAAGUUAGUGGAGAGUAGGUGAUCGGUCUAGUUAGGUACAUAAUUCAAUCCUGAUUCAACGAAGGAAGGAAACGAAGAGAACGAACGUGACUGGCUGCUCGAAUGAAACCGCUUGUAAUUUCCGACGGACGUGUGUUCACGCGCGAGUGAAUGUCGUCGAUAGACAUUGAUUCAUUCUCGAGGAAAAGACACUAUACAUAUAUAAUGAAUACAAACAAUACACGUAUAAGUACGUGUCUCAAAGUAAACAAACAGCUACAUCGUAUGAUAACAAAAGGCCAGUCGUUCGUUGAAGGACUAGACGUACGGACGUGUUCAUUCUCGCUCGUCUUCUCGUACCAUUAUGCUGCGUACAUUCGUACAUUUAUAGAAUAGAAAAAUCUAGUGACGUAUAUGCGGAUUCCCUAAGCACGGUAUCAACAUCUUCGGAAUUGCCGGCGAGAACUACUUCGAUAACGUUAGCCCAUUCGAAUGAUCUAUCGGAACAUAUGUAACCGAGGGAGCUCGAUUUAAAUGACUCGAAGGACGGCUAAGUACUCUCCUCUUGUUCGAACGUUACUGGAACGUCGAGAAUCGUCGAGGGAUCGAAGUGUGAUGCGCUUCUCUCGUGCACUCCGAGGAACAGAGAGCAUUGGUAUGAGUGCUUUUUGGAUGAGGAUGAGAGAGAGAGAGAGAGAGAGAGAUAGAGGGAGAAUGAGAAAGACAACGUGAGCACUAAGAGAGAAAAAGAGAGAGAGAGAGAGAAUAUAUAUAACGUGUAUGUACGUGUCGGUUGUUAACGGUGAAAUAUCGACCAUUUUCGAAGCCACAGUCGAGCAGGAUUCUCUUGGGAUGCAAAGGGCUGCUAUGCUUAUGAUAUUAACGCGCUAACUGCCGCUCGUUUCCUGCGGUCAGCGAAACAUUAGCGUAUGUAGCCCGCGGGACAACGCGUUACGAUUUUGCGGGCUCGCGUGGUAAUCAACUCGAGAGUUCUCGUUUGCCUUAUUCUUCGAAUAUUGGUAUUAAGGUAACUGGAAAAGGACAAAUAAAGAAAGAGAAAAAAAAAAAAGAAAAAAAAAAAAGAAAAAAGAAAAAGGAACGAGAAUCUUAAUUCUCGUAUCGAUAUUAUUAUUCAUCGAAUUUAUUUCUUCGAUCGAGAACUCGGUACUCGUUUUAUUUUUACAUUUACUCAUUUAUAUUCAUUGAUUCUCGAUAUAAAAGUUGUGCCAUUAAAUUAAUUAAUAUUAAAGGGAGAACAUGCAAUUUCGUUAAUGAAAUUUUCAUCGACGAUAGUAUUAAUCAAUGAUUAAACGAUUGUAUCCUCGUCGGUCGAGAUAAAUACUAUAAACUUGAUUAGCGAUUCCGUGUGAUAUAUGAAAACGACACCAUCGGCCACAUAUUCGAGUAGGAGUUUGCUCGUUUUAGAAGCACGCGGAUACGCAUGGGAAUUCGAGUACCGUCCACUCUCCGCCAAGUUUCAUAUUUCCUCGAGUGUUCUGACAGAAAUACGAAGCCCGGAGGCGAAGUGGAUGCGUUCGCGCAGUUUCGUCGCGGCCGCGACAAACUCGAUUACAUUAAACGUUUGGUUAACAAGCAGAGCUUCGAGGGAAAAUGUUGCGAAAGGAUAACCAAUGAAAAAAGGAAAAAAGAAGAGAGAGAGAGAGAGAGAGAGAGAGAGAUAAAGAAAGAAAACUAAUUUAACAUUUUCUCCAUUUGAUAAUUUUUUUCAUUUCUUACUUUCAUUCUUUCUUUUGUUUUUUUUUUUAUUCCAAUCAUCAUCCUUGAAAGAACGAAAAUCACGGCAUAGGCAAAAUCGAAAUCGUGAAUUCGUUCACAGAAGAUAGAAAAUCCAUUAAUCGAGCCGCGACGACACGUGCUUCUCCAUAAAUUGCGAAGUACUGGAGGUACGCGUUCGGAGGGCAGUUUAAACACAGCGAAAGGGUAGGCACAUUGGGGGAGUAGUCGAGGUACUACCGCCUCCGCCAUCGCUACUGUUGCUGCUAGCCAUGCGUUGGGAUAGGUCGGCUUUAUUCCGGAAGCCAAGCUCGUACCUUCCGACUGGAAGUUAAUUCGUGCCUCGAUUUAACCGCCGGAAAAUCCAUCGACCGAUCGCCCCAUAAUACGGUAGCCGUUCGCAACAGGAUGGAAAUCAUCGAGAGAGAAAGAGAGAGAGAGAGAGAGAGAGAGAGAGAGAGAGAAGGUCGCUGCGUGUAAGCCUCACACAUCAACCCUUACCAUCAUCCCACCUUUCCGCUUCUCCUUCGUCCCACCGCGUCACCUUUCUCUCUUGCUGUUGUUAGUACUACCACUACUACUACUACUACUAUUACUACUACUACUACUGUUGCUGCUGCUGCUGCUGCUGCUGCUGCUGCUGCUGCUGCUGCUGCUGCUAUUGCUUUGCCAUACUGCUGCUUUUGGUACUGCUGUUGUUGCUGUUGCUGCUACUAGUCCGUCGAUUAAGCAUAAUAAUUAAUUAAUACUGCGAAUCCCGAAGGCCAACGUCGAGCUCGUCUCUCGCCACGGGCACCUCCUUCUCUCGGGCACUCCCUUCUCUCUCUCUCUCUCUCUCUCUCUCUCUCUCUCUCUCUCUCUCUCUCUCGCUCUCUCAUUCUGGAAACUACGGCAUUUCUCUGCCGUCGACGGUUUACGUGCCUCGCGUUAAUGCCAAUUUAGCGUCUUUCGCUGAAUCGCCGUUGGGAAAGCAUUUUAGAACGCAUUGUAAAUGGUAAUCACGCUUACGUACAACCCCAGUAUGCGUCGACCAUCUUUAAAUGCAUUUGGAAAAGCACAGAUAUCGGAUAGUUUUAUUUUUCCUUUUAUUUUCAUUCUUUCUUUUUCUUCCUUUCUUUCUUUCUUUCUUUGUUACUUAUAUAGGUAAGAUAUCGUUCAUAAGACGAGAAGAAAAUGUGCUUCCUUUUCUUUUUUUCUUUCAUAGAAACAUUCGAAUAGUUAAAACAAUUGUUCAGUUCGAGUUCUCUAACGAGUUGUUUAUCGCCUUUAACGAUUUAGCCGUGUCGUCGAAGUAAUUUUUAGGGCUAGUUUUGCAAUCGAGUAAAUCGCAGGUAAACUUUGUCUUAACUCGUCGACUGGGAAUAAGGGAGAAGGAAAAAAAAUUGGUCGCUAACAACUCUUAAUGAAAUAACUACGUCACGAGGGUGGAAAGUUUGAAAGUCACAAUCGUUUCUCUCUCUUUCUCUUUCUCUCUCUCUCUCUCUCUCUCUCUCCUUCUCUCCGUCUCUUUCUUUCGCGCGCGUUCUCUAAGGAGAAGAAGAAGAAGAAGAAGAAAAAGAAGAAGAAGAAGAAAAAAUGGAAAGAAGUGGAAAAAGAAAAGCUACGUUCAAGAAUCGGAAUGGUAGCGGAACUGCACGAGCGUUACUAGCAUUCUCGGAAAUAGCCGAUUUCUCGAAAGCCUCGCUUUUAUCCCUCGAUCUCCUUUAUGUCUUUCGAUGUAAUCUGUCGUUUCUUUUUCUUUUCUUUUUUUUUUUCCUUCCCUUUUUUUCCUCUUCCUCUUUUCUUUCUCUUCUUUUUUUUCUUGUUCCUAUUCAAAAUUAGAUUUUUCCCCUCGAACCAAAAGUCUCCCCGUUCCCUGCUAAAACGCGAUUUUCCCAUUUAAAAUUGCAUAUCCGAAGGAGGCACGAUAGAAAUAAGUAUAUAUAGAACAAAGAAAGUCGUUAAAAAAAGUUAAACGUUGGAAAAGAAAAAAAAAAAUUCCUUUGGAAAUUUCUACUUUCGGUGUAAGCUUUGCUAAUUUCGUAUUCAGACGAGAUUGGAAAUCGUCAUUUCCAUUAGUUUUGCCGAAAUUUAAAUCCAUCUAUCUCAUCGCCGAUUAUCGUCGAAAUCGGCUCGCCAAUUUAUCGAACGAUAAAUAAAGUGGACAUCGAAAGAGAGAGAAAAAAAAAAAGAAAAUGUAGAAAAAAACAGUAAAAUAAAAAAACAGUUAAAAAAACAGUAAAAAAAAAAAGGGAGAAAAAAUUUAUUCGCGCUAGGGCAUCGUAUAUUCCGACGUUCAAUCGGUAUCACAUACUCUUAUAACAUCCCGAUAACGUUAAACGCAAUUCAUGUUUAUAUAUAUAUAUAUAUAUGUAUAUAUAAAACAAUAUAUAUAUAUCAUAUAUUGCAAUGCAUGUACUCGACUGUAGUCCCACUAAAAUCGCUUGUAGAUCCGAUCUCUUCGACGAAUCCCAGUUUCGUGAAAAAUCGGCAUCGCAAUGACGGUCAUCCGUUAGAGCAUCGUUAAAAAUUGCCUGACUCGUUGCAUACAUAUGCAACGAGGAGUGGGCGACAGUUUUCAACGAUUCAUUCGACGUGAAUCACGUGGAAUCAAGCAUGGACGUCGUAUAAUCACUGGUAUUAUAUAUAGUCAAGUGUGCCAAUGAAAAUAGGGUUUUGCUUCGCAAUUUGAUUGAAAACUUUUGUGCGAUCAUGCCUAUCAGAAUGUUUAUGGGAUUUUUCUCGUUUCCUCUUUUUCUCCCUCUCCCCUUUUUUUAAUGUCUGUCUGUCUCUCUCUCUCUCUCUCUCUCUCUCUCUCUCUCUCUCUAUUCUCUUUAUAUCCUCCUCGAUGAGAAUACAUUCAUUCGCAUAUUUCCCCGGUCUCGUUAUUUCUCAUAAAGCUUUUCAUUUUAGGUACGUACCGUACGUACGUACGUUAAUACAAAAUAUUUCAAUGUUUAUUGUAUUCCAAUACUAUACAUCAAUGCAUGCAUAUCAAAAGCAACGAUUAAUUGAUAAAAUGAUGAGGAAGAUAAGGUUUAUCAUUUAGAAAGUUUUGAUUAUGAAAAUAAUUAAAAGAUUUGAAUUCAUUUUUCUUCGAACUUUCAUAUCUUUCAUAAACUUUGACAUCUUAAUGUUAAAAUUCAUUCUAUUUCAUAUGCUUAAUACAAAUAAAGUAGGAGAAAGUUCGUGAUAUAUUUUUAUUAUUUUUAAUGAUCAUAAGAGAAAGAGAGAAUGCGAAAGAAUGAGAGAGAGAGAGAGAGAGAUAGAAAGAGAAAUCGUAUGAGAAAAAUGCUUAGAAGUGCAAAAAUUGGUCGGUUGGAAAGAGAUCAGCGAACAAAGUAGAAAAUUGAAAAAAGAAAGAAAAGAAAAAGAAAAUGGUAGGUAGCUGCUGCUAUGGAAAAAAAAAAAAAAAAAAAAAGAAAGUUAUCGUACCAUCUCUCUCUCUCUCUCUCUCUCUCUUUCUCUAGCUCGCUCCCUCGUUAAAUGCACUCGACUGUUGUAUUAUUAAACAUAAACCAAAUUGUUUUAGCCGAGAGAGUUGGCUACGAUCGCAAAAGCGAAUUCCUCGGAGAAUUAAGCUAUCCUGUCUAUCUGUCUGUCUCUUUCUCUUGCAAUUUUGCAAUACUCGCGAAUGGUAACGAUCAUUUGCGUGAUAAUAACGAAUUACUCGGGGAAACGUUCACUUGGUUAGACUUUGCGAGAAACACCCUUCCAAGAGGAAGAUAUAUAUAUAUAGAUAGAUAGAUAGAUGAAUAGAAAGAGAGAAAGAGAAUUAUACAAAGUUAACUUUCUCCAAUUUUACAUUCAUCGUUUCGAGACUUCUCUUCUCGUUCCUCGAUUAUUUCGUAGUUAACGAUUGUGUCUCGAAUUUCUCGACAAUAGUAAAAUUAAAAACAAAAAACAAAAGAAAUGCAAAAAGAAAAAAUAUAAAGAAGUCACAGAGAGAAAGAGAGAGAGAGAAAUU